rnacentral:rRNA from 1 species
CCUACGGGAGUCAGCAGUGGGGAAUAUUGGACAAUGGGCGAAAGCCUGAUCCAGCCAUGCCGCGUGUGUGAAGAAGGCCUUCGGGUUGUAAAGCACUUUCAGUGGGGAAGAAAGCCUUGGGGCUAAUACCCUCGAGGAAGGACAUCACCCACAGAAGAAGCACCGGCUAACUCCGUGCCAGCAGCCGCGGUAAUACGGAGGGUGCGAGCGUUAAUCGGAAUUACUGGGCGUAAAGCGCGCGUAGGCGGUCUGAUAAGCCGGUUGUGAAAGCCCCGGGCUCAACCUGGGAACGGCAUCCGGAACUGUCAGGCUAGAGUGCAGGAGAGGAAGGUAGAAUUCCCGGUGUAGCGGUGAAAUGCGUAGAGAUCGGGAGGAAUACCAGUGGCGAAGGCGGCCUUCUGGACUGACACUGACGCUGAGGUGCGAAAGCGUGGGUAGCAAACAGGAUUAGAUACCCGAGUAGUC